GUCCUUCUCUCCCAAGUUCCCUGGGGACUUGAGGACAAGACGGAGAGGAAGUCUCAGAGGCCCUACCCCGAGAUGAUCCCGCUCUUCUUAGCAAGGUCGCCGCCGCACCCCAAUUCCCCCUCCUUUCCCCACCUCCAGCUCUGCGAACCGGGACUGUCGGCGAAACCCGCCCCUCCCCCACUACACCAGGUCCUGGUGACUGCGGGUGCGCGGGGGAGGAGCAGGGCAGGCCCAAGCGUUGCUGACACGUGGGGAGCGAGGAAACGUCCGAGGAGGAGGGGUGGGGUGUGUGGGUGGGUGUGUCCGCGAGUGGGAGAAACCAACCCAGACCACCUCCGAGUCUUCAUUUUCUCGUGUUGCUUACCGGACGGAAAAAGGACGCAGCUCUCCCAACGAUCCAGAGCCCCUCCUAGACGCUCGGCGAUCCCGAGAAGCGUGGAGUGUGGCCACAUGGUCGCCGGGCUGAAGGUCUCCGAGAGGCUGCGUGGAACUGCAAGCUGCACUGCCGGGGCUGGUCAAGCCAAAUAAGGAGUCCUACUGAAUGUGAGCUUGGAGUGCGCUCUGUAAUCUGCCUCACAAAUAGGGCCAACCAAACUGUUGCAAACACACUGGAGCCCUCCAUUAAUUCCCCAAGGAAAUAUUCGCGGUUUUUCCAUU